rnacentral:lncRNA from 1 species
UUCAAUGAUCUUUGAACGGAGGAGCACUUCAAAAAAAAAAAAAGAUAAGUGUCACGCUCAAACCCUACCAUCUGUGAAAUUAGUUAAAUACACAUUGAUAAUCUUGUAAAAGAUAACUAAAAGUCAUGACUACCAGCUCCUUAUAAAACAAAUAAAAACUAAUGAAAUAAAUAAUAAAUGCUAACCUUAAAUCUUGUUUGAUAUCUCUUUGACUCUUCGUUCAUCUUCCACCAAAUCACAAAGUAACUCGUGCAAAAACAUUAUAAAUAAUUUUCACUGCUUCCUCCUUGCUGUCGCAAUUUAAAAAAAUUGCAUAAACAAAAUUAUACCUUCGGGGAGGUCCCGAUAUCUAAUAUGACCAAAGCAAAAGAAAUCUUGAAAAUUCAACGAGAAUGGCCAACAAAAACUUACUUGAACACAAGUUGAUUAACACAUAUUUUAUACAAUCCUACAACAGUGAAGCAAGAAGAAAAUAUAGUCUUUGGCUUCUUUGGUUGCAAUAUACCGAACAAGACUUUACUGCAAUUAAACAAAUGGGUUAUUUAAAUAGCCAUAAAAGGAGAUGAGGGCAGCGAAUUAAGGGUAGACGUGGGUCGAGGAAGCAAAGCCUAGUCGU